GUGACCUCNAAUCAGGUAGGACUACCCGCUGAACUUAAGCAUAUCAAUAAGCGGAGGAAAAGAAACUAACAAGGAUUCCCCUAGUAACUGCGAGUGAAGCGGGAAAAGCUCAAAUUUAAAAUCUGGCGGUCUUUUGGCUGUCCGAGUUGUAAUCUAGAGAAGUGUUAUCCGCGCUGGACCGUGUACAAGUCUCCUGGAAUGGAGC
rnacentral:rRNA from 1 species